AUGGCCGGCGAUGCAGAGCUGAAGCUGCUGGGGUGGUGGGCGCCCGGGGUGAGCCCCUACGUGCUGCGCGCCCAGAUGGCGCUUGCCGUAAAGGGGCUGAGCUACGAGUACCUCCCGGAGGACCGCUGGUCCAAGAGCGACCUCCUCGUUGCGUCCAACCCCGUGUACAAGAAGGUGCCCGUCCUCAUCCACGACGGCAGGCCCGUCUGCGAGUCGCUGCACAUCGUGGAGUACCUCGACGAUGCCCCCGGCCUUGCCGGCAACGGCACGUCCAUCCUCCCCGCAGACCCCUACAGCCACGCCGUCGCUCGCUUCUGGGCCGCCUAUGUGAACGACAAGCUGUUCCCUUCGUGCACCGGGAUCCUCAAGACAGCAAAGUAG
rnacentral:rRNA from 1 species